GAGAUGCGGGGGUGCCCGAAAGGGAACCUGGACACAGGUGCUGCAUGGCUGUCGUCAGCUCGUGUCGUGAGAUGUUGGGUUAAGUCCCGCAACGAGCGCAACCCUUGCCAUUAGUUGCUACAUUCAGUUGGGCACUCUAAUGGGACUGCCGGUGACAAACCGGAGGAAGGUGGGGAUGACGUCAAGUCCUCAUGGCCCUUAUGGGUAGGGCUUCACACGUAAUACAAUGGCGGCAUACAGAGGGCUGCAAACCCGCGAGGGGGAGCCAAUCCCAAAAAGUGCGUCGUAGUCCGGAUUGUUCUCUGCAACUCGAGAGCAUGAAGUCGGAAUCGCUAGUAAUCGCGGAUCAACAUGUCGCGGUGAAUACGUUCCCGGGUCUUGUACACACCGACAGA
rnacentral:rRNA from 1 species